ensembl:lncRNA
GUUUGUUUGUUUUAAUAGCUGCUAGUUACAUAACCAAAUGGUUGACCUCUUUUAAACAUGACCUUACUGAGGCAUUUGCCUAGAGAAAGUCUGAGGAGGAAAUUAGAACAAGGGGUCAAGUGGUGUGACAUCAUACAUGUAGAUUAUAAAAGGCAGAGGGGUUUCAGAGAGGUUGUGGCUGAUGGAGAAUGGGAGAGAGGAACAUUGCUGCAGAAGGGUGAUCAGAAGCUCUAGGCAGAGAACACAAGUAUAUCUGUGAUUCCCUUUGUACACCAUCUGACCCACUGCCACGACUUCAGGUGUUUUCAUCAUGAUAGUGAAGAACAAGGGCACCAAGUGAAGUUUGGAGUCAUGGUUCAGAGGCAAAGGAGUGGCUCUACAGCAGGGCCUGAGGGUCCAUGUGAAAGAGAUGAAACAAGCAACCUUUCUGGUAGACACUUCAGUCCUUGAUGGAAGACUGUGUUUCCAGAAAUUGAAUUGAAACCUCUACUUGGGGAAUUUAAAGGGAAGAAUGGAUCACAUUGCCGGUGAAUUUUUUUAACAUGGGAUUAACGUCUGGAAUAUACAGAGAAACUUCUGCAUAUCUACAACAACAAAAUAAUCCAGCAGAAAAAUGGGCAAAAUGUGGAAGAGGAUGUUUAUAGAAGAGGAAACUCUUCGAGGUAAAAAACAGAUGUACAGAUGCUCUAACAUUAUUAAUAAAGGAAAUUAAAGUAAAAUAAUGAGAUAUCACAUUGUGCCCAUUAACUAGGCAAUAAUCAGAGAGAUGGAUGUUGCCUACUGUUGCGAGGAUUGUGAGAUUAGGAGUGUCCUGGCCUUCUGGUGAAAGAGUAGGCUGGGCAGCCAUCUGUGAGGCAGUGACACCACUCAGCCCAGCUGAGUGUAUGUCUAAGCCUGCUGAGGCAGGAGGCAAUCUGAUGUCCUUCAUCAGAAGCAGAUGGAUAAAAUGUGAGGGUGAACCCCCCUGGAGGACCAUACUGCAGCUAGAAGCAAUGGAUUCAAUUUUCAUAUAGGAGCAUGGGUAGAUCUUAAAGUUAUAGUGCUGACCAAACAAAGUAACAAACAGAUGAGAUAUAUAACAUAAUUAUAUUUCUAUAAAUAAAAGAUACAUCCUAAACUAUUUAACACUUAGGAAAAACAUACUGAAAAAUCUUCCUGAUAUUACAUUUGGCAAUAAUUGUUUGGCUAUGACAUCAAAAGCACAGGCCAUGAAAGUAAAAAGUUGACAACUUGGACUUCAUAAAGUUAUAAACUUUUGUAUACCAAAGGACACUAUCAAGAGAGUAAAAAGGCAACCCAUGGAAUGGGAGAAAAUAUUUGCAAAUCAUAUAUAUCUGAUAAGGCAUUAAUACCCGGGAUAUGAAAAAACUCCUACAACUCAACAACCAAAAAACAAACAACCUAAUUUAAAAACGGGCAAAGAAAUUGAAUAGACACAAUGCAAAGAAAAUAUGCAAAUAGCCAAUAAUCAUAUUUAAAAAUCCUCCACACCACUAGUCAUUAGGGAAGUGCAUGUUCAAACCAUGGUAAUAAAUCACUUCACACCUAUUAGGAGGGCUAUUAUUAAAAGAAAAACAAGCCAGAAAAUAGCAAGUAGUGGGGAAGAUGUAGAGAAACUGGAAACCUAUGUAUCACUGGUGGGGAUGUAAAGUGGUAGAUCCAUUGUGAAGAAAGAGUAUGGUGGUUCUUCAGAAAAUUAAACGUAGGAUUGCCAUUCGAUCCAGCAAUAACCCUUCUGGGUAUAUACCACGAAGAAGUGAAAGCAGGAACCUGAUCAGAUAUUUGUAUACCUAUAUUCAUAGCAGCGUUAUUCACAAUAGCCAAUCAGUGGAAACAAUCCAAGUGUCCAUCAACAGAUGAAUGAAUGAACAGGGUGUGGUA